UACAGAGGGUGCGAGCGUUGUUCGGAAUUACUGGGCGUAAAGGGCGCGUAGGCGGCCUUCUAAGUCAGACGUGAAAUCCCCCGGCUUAACCUGGGAACUGCGUCUGAUACUGGAGGGCUUGAGUAUGGGAGAGGGAUGUAGAAUUCCAGGUGUAGCGGUGAAAUGCGCAGAUAGUCAGGAGGAACACCGGUGGCGAAGGCGGGUCUCUGGGCCGAUACUGACGCUGGAGGAGCGAAAGCCGUGGGGAGCGAACAGG
rnacentral:rRNA from 1 species